CUGUUGGUUAACUUAGUGGCGGACGGGUGAGUAACACGUAGGUAACCAACCCUAAAGCGGGGGACAACCCAGGGAAACUUGGGCUAAUACCGCAUAAGACCACGGACUGGGAGGUUCGUGGUAAAAGGUCAAGUUGAAAGAUUUGGCCACUUUAGGCUGGGCCUGCGGCCUAUCAGGUAGUUGGUAAGGUAAUGGCUUACCAAGCCUAAGACGGGUAGCCGGACUGAGAGGUUGAACGGCCACACUGGAACUGAGAUACGGUCCAGACUCCUACGGGAGGCAGCAGUGGGGAAUUUUGCGCAAUGGGCGAAAGCCUGACGCAGCGACGCCGCGUGGAGGAUGAAGGUUUUCGGAUUGUAAACUCCUUUUGUCGGGGAAGAUAAUGACGGUACC
rnacentral:rRNA from 1 species